UACGUAGGGGGCAAGCGUUGUCCGGAUUCAUUGGGCGUAAAGAGCGUGUAGGCGGCCAGGUAGGUCGGUUGUGAAAACUGGAGGCUCAACCUUCAGACGUCGACCGAAACCCCCUGGCUAGAGUCCGGGAGAGGAGAGUGGAAUUCCUGGUGUAGCGGUGAAAUGCGCAGAUAUCAGGAAGAACACCCGUGGCGAAAGCGGCUCUCUGGAACGGUACUGACACUGAGGAGCGAAAGCGUGGGGAGCGAACAGG
rnacentral:rRNA from 1 species